AGCGAACGCUGGCUGCAGGCCUAACACAUGCUAGUCGAACGAACUCUUCGGAGUUAGUGGCGGACGGGUGAGUAACACGUGGGAACGUGCCUUUAGGCUCGGAAUAACCCAGGGAAACUUGUGCCAAUACCGAAUGUGCCCUUCGGGGGUAAGAUUUAUCGACUUUAGAUCGUCCCGCGUCUGAUUAGUUAGUUGGUAACGUAAUGGCUCACCAUGCCGACGAUCAGUAGCUGGUCAGUGAAGCUGAUGAUCAACAUUGGGAUUGAGACACGGCCCAGACUUCUACGGGAGGUAGCGGAGGGGAAUCUUGCGAAGCGGGGGAAAGCAUGAGGAAGCCAUGCCGAGUGAAUGAUGAAGGUAUUAGGAGUGUAAGAUUCUUUCAACGAGGACGGUAACAACGGUACCCGGAGAAGAAGCCCCGGCUAACUAGGUG
rnacentral:rRNA from 1 species